ACUGGGAAGAGUCCAGCGCUGAAUCGYGGCRCCUCUGGUGCCGCGWGGUGUAGCGUACAGACCGUGAGCAUGGGUUGGCCUGCCCGUUCAAGUUUCCCUUGACCGGGGCUCCAGAGAAGGUGCAAGACCUGUCCAACGGGCGGCAGCCAGUCCAUUUUCGCGUGUCUCGGAGUCGGGUUGUUUGGGAUCGCAGCCCAAAGCAGGUGGUAAACUUCAUCUAAGACUGAAUAUGACUACGAGUCCGAUAGCGAACAAGUACCGUGAGGGAAAGUUGCAAAGCACUUUGAAGAGAGAGUUAAAGAGGACGUGAAACCGAUGAGGUGGAAACGGACAGAGCUGGCGUAUCUGGCCUGUAUUCAGCCACGGGCCCGYCGGUGUCAGGGAUGCCGCUCUCCAGAUUGGGACGGUGGCCUGUCUGCUGGUGSGYUUGUGGUGCAUUUGCAGGUGGAGUGCGCCGAGGCGCUCGGGCACAGCGGCAUGAGCCCAGUUUUGAGGCCAGCCUCGCAAGAGGUCUGGUACCCGGACUGGGGGAGUGYUGUUUGGCCUGGGUGUACAAGUGGSGCAAUGGAAUCGGSCCCGUGCGGGUGCCGAGCUGGCAGUCGGCGUCGGUCGCAUSCGACACGUSCCAGCGGUCAGUUCGGUCCUGCUCGAGCUCACAUCUGCCCGUCCUCGGUGUAAAAGCCGGUCAUCUGUCCGACCCGUCUUGAAACACGGACCAAGSAGUUUAGCGUGUGCGCGAGUCAUUGGGCGUUAAAAACCCAAAGGCGCAAUGAAAGUGAAGGUCUCCCUUGCGGAGCUGAUGUGUGAUCCUGGUGCACUGCG
rnacentral:rRNA from 1 species